rnacentral:tRNA from 1 species
GCCCGAGUAGUUCAACUGGUUAGAACAUUAAUUUCAUGCAUUAAUAAUGGGAAUUCGAA